UGUUCAUCAACCAAUCUCACGUGGUUCGUUGCGCGUUCGUAAAUUGGCGGGGCACGUAUGGUGGAGGACUUCGAGAAAACGUCACAACAGUCAAAGUGGUUAUCAUGACAGUCAGACUCAGAGCCAAUGAAGUGGAUGCUGUC